GACCGGUACUGGCUAAUAGAUACACUCGAUAAGCUGUUUUCAAGGGAGACAAUUUCGCCAAUAAGUCAACAAAUUGACUUAGAUUUCUGGGUAUAGACAAGGACUCUGAUAGGCUAAACAAAGAUGAUGUAUUCAAACGUUUACCUGCCGAUCGGUAACGGUUAGCGACAUUCACUAUCUAACCAAGACUUCAGAACAAACCGUGAUGGAUUUAAGGACGUUACUGGAAAAAGCAAAACUAUUUUCUGCCUUUCCCGAUCGUUAGAAGAAGCAAGAUCUAAUAAAACCGCUAGAUCAUUCUAGCGUAUCGAUCGGACGAAAAGUCGCUGAAUUUCAGUUUCCAUGAGGUUUUCACGGAAACGUCAUUAAUUAGGGGUUGCCUUCAUGAUCUGAAAGCGACGGGAUGACGUUUUAAUGCAAAGGAAACGUACAUGUUCUGAUUUAAAUCAAAGCAGUGUUGGGAAAAAAAUUAUGGUGUGUGACUCUUACCUCGUACCUGUAUAAUGCAAACCAAGCAAAUGUGUAUGUAAAGUUGAAGGACAAUUUUGACAAUUAUCUGUAAUUGAUAAUACUUUCUUCAAUUUGAAAUUUGAAAUCUUUCAAUUGAUAUUUUUACUACUAUAAGAUAAAAAUGUGUUUGAAUUAAAGGAUACAGGUCUGUUUUUAA
rnacentral:lncRNA from 1 species